rnacentral:rRNA from 1 species
AGUGAACGCUGGCGGUAGGCCUAACACAUGCAAGUCGAACGGCAGCACAGUAAGAGCUUGCUCUUACGGGUGGCGAGUGGCGGACGGGUGAGGAAUACAUCGGAAUCUACUUUUUCGUGGGGGAUAACGUAGGGAAACUUACGCUAAUACCGCAUACGACCUACGGGUGAAAGCAGGGGAUCUUCGGACCUUGCGCGAUUGAAUGAGCCGAUGUCGGAUUAGCUAGUUGGCGGGGUAAAGGCCCACCAAGGCGACGAUCCGUAGCUGGUCUGAGAGGAUGAUCAGCCACACUGGAACUGAGACACGGUCCAGACUCCUACGGGAGGCAGCAGUGGGGAAUAUUGGACAAUGGGCGCAAGCCUGAUCCAGCCAUACCGCGUGUGUGAAGAAGGCCUUCGGGUUGUAAAGCCCUUUUGUUGGGAAAGAAAAGCAGCAGGUUAAUACCCCGCUGUUCUGACGGUACCCAAAGAAUAAGCACCGGCUAACUUCGU